UUCUUCAGCAUCCUGCCUCACUAGGUGGCAUCUGGAGCAUAGACUUUCAAUAAGUCAGCUGUCCUUGUGGGUGGCUCAAAUGGCCUCUCGUCUCCCAGUGACAAGCCUGAUUCCUGUAUCGUGCCCAUAUGGCCCUUAGGGUCCCUUCUAGAGGUACUGAAUUCUAGGUCCUGGAAGAGCCCUCGCCGUAGUGACCCAUCCCACCUGUCCUGUCAGAGAAGAGGUCUGUGGUGAGGCAGUUGGUCCCAGCUCCCUCUGCAUGAGGACUUCGUGCUUUGACCUCAGUCUCUGAGCAAGGUCUCAUGUAUACAGCUCAGGCUGGCCUCCAGUGUAGCAGAGGAUGGCUUUGAACUUCUGAUCUUCUUGUCUUCAUCUGUAAGUUGUGGGAUUACCAUGCUCCACGUAAUGCAGAACUGGGGUUGCAACCUGGGACUUCCUGCAUGCAAGCUUUUCCAUCUGCACUGCCGGACCAGAUCCCUGCAGCCAGCAUCGCGGGCAGCCAGGCCAGCCGUCCCCAGCGUCUUCCUAUUUUAGACAUCUCGCCGCCUCGGUCCCUUCUAAUGUUUCCAGGCAGGCUGCAGGGGGAGGAAAAAGAGGUUACUGCUACUUUAAAUGUACUGUAUGAAGGCGAGGGCUGGAAAGGGGCCUGCUUGCAGGAAUACCCAGUCAUCUAGUUGGAGAAGCCGCCAGAUGGAAUACAAAAGGAGAAGCUCAGGCGCUCAUGGAGACGGCCUCGGUUCAUAAAUCAGGUGGGGCCGCGGCCCAGGGGCCCACACACCAUGGAGCCCGACUCCCUCCUGGACCCAGGCGACUCCUACGAGUCACCACAAGAAAGGCCGGGCUCCCGGCGCAGCCUUCCCGGCAGCCUGUCAGAGAAAAGCCCCAGCAUGGAGCCCUCGGCUGCAACCCCGUUCCGGGUCACGGUAACUAUCUCUGCGUCACCACGGCCACUGCCACCACCAUCACCACCUCGCCCUGUGGGGCUGCUCUGCGACCCCGCAUUCCCCUUCCUGGAGCCUCAUGGACCGGGAGAGCCUCCAGCCUCCCUUGCUCUAGGUAUCCAAUCCCCUGGCGGCUCCCUGUUCUCUGGGGGCCACAUGGGGUCCCAUUCUUUGAGGGAGGGGGCAGGUGGAGGACAGAGCCUAGGAGGCCAC